UCCCUUCCCUUCCCUUCCACCUUCCCUUUUCCCUUUCCUUCCCUGUUGGUGCCAGACAGCACGCAGCAGAUGAUCCCCAGAGGGGUAUGCUCAGCACACACAAACAUGAUGUUUACUGGCUCUGGGAUGGAUCAGGGAGGGAUUUAGAGUCUCCGAGCUUGGCUGCACAGCUCAGAGAUCCCCCUGCAACUCUUCAUGAAGGUUCUUGGUGGGAAAAGCUCUGUGUAGGUUAGAGGAACUCCAGCUUGGGUAAAACGAUACCUGUUCUUGGUGACCUGCUCGCAGAUGUUUCCCAAGGAUGUUUGUAUUUGGUUUUAGCAGGGGUAGCUGGGGUUUGGUAAGAGCACGGCCCCAGGGCACAUAGUGCAAAUAUCCACAGAAUCAUCAAAUCAUUAAGGUUGGAAAAGGCCUCUAAAGUCUUCUAGUCCAACCAUCAACCCACCCCCACCAUGCUCACUAAGCCAUGUCCCCAAGCGCCAAGACUUGGGCAGAGAUUGGGUAAUCUUAAUGGAAAGAAGCCACUGGGGUGAGCAGAGUAGUGAUCCUGCGGCUCCAAGCAUCAGUAAGUCCCCUUUUCCCUUCUUUCUGACUCUUUUGCAUUCAGUACUUCUGUCUGCCAGGGCUGAAGUCAGGGUUGAGCAUGGCAAUGGCUCCUCUUGAUGAUCUCUAGAGGUCCCUUCCAACCCCUGCAAUUCUGUGAUUCCAUGAUACCAGCUUGCGUCUGGCCAGUGUGGGCAGAUUUCCCUCAACUUCAUUCUCCUGCAAAGCCAUUUGACUUUUCCAGCUGCUAAAGUCUCUGUGCUUUAUCACUCAUAGAAGGCAGCAUGCCUUACCUCUUCCUGACUCCAUCCCUCCCUUCCUCCCCAUGGACUGGACUGGAGUGCUUGGCCAACCCAUGGGGCUGACCUUACCACCAUGCUCCGUCUGUGACCCAAAUGGGGAGGGCUGAAGAGUUUGGGUUUGUACAGGGCUGUGAGGUGCUCCCCUGGUACAUGCCCAUCAGCCUCUUAUAGGAAACUACAGUCCUGGGGUGUAAAGAUGGGAGAGGAGCAGACUGGAUUAACCUUGAUCAGCGUCCCAGGGCAAUGUCUUGUUUGUUGGGAUCCAGGAAAAUGCUUUAACCUCAUGUCUCUUGUAUUUUCUUUGUCCUACACACUUAUAUGAACAAUACAGCGAGUUAGGGAAGGAUUCAUCCGGCACUUGAAAAGCCCUUGGAAUUGCAUACUCUUCUGGGGACAAGAAAGUGGCUGUAUAAAAACAGACCCUUGUCACUUUGUCAGCUCCUCUGUACCCAUGUCAGUGGGGCUGCUGCUUCACUCCCUAUGUCCCCGCAGCCCCGCUGAGCUGGCUCCCCUCUGCCUGCUGCAAGCAGCCGAGUGCCUUGCCUUCCCCUGGCAAGAUACCCCUUGCAGGUGGCUGAUGGAAGCCAGCAGGGUCAGAGCUUGGCUGUCAGAUCCCAGCAGGAGCACGGGGCUUGGGCAGCAGGGUGUACAAAUGCAUGAGGGGUCUAAAGCAAAUCUGAUUUGGGAUUGCUGAGGCAGGAAUGCCCACAAUGGAUCUUGCAAAACCUAUCCCCAAGGCUGGGCUGCCUUUGAACACAAAUUAGUCAGGACUGAAGUUGCUUACAUCCCCUGAUAUGGUUUUAGCAUUUUGUGAUUUGCUCCUAAUUCAUCUGAAGCCAGAAAUGCUUCCUGGUGUGCCCUCUGAGUUGUCAUCCGAGUUGAGCUGCAUUGCCUAGGGCUGUUUCUCCAGGACUGGGAACUUUCUGUUCUCUCCUGUCUGAUCACACAGGGUAGAAAUCUCUGCAGGAAUGCAUGAACUGUGACCUGCUGCAUGGGCUGCACGGCUGCUGUGGCUCUUGAGGAUAGGCAGGAAACCCGUAGGAACAUUGCUCCUCUUCCCCCUGACUUUUAUUUUCCUUUUUAUCUGUACUCACAGUUCAGCUCCAGCAACCCUAACAGCAAUUAGUCCUUCAAAACUGGAGCUAGCCAUGCAGUGGGAAGGCGCUCUUGGUGGAUAUUAAGAGGCUCCAUUUUGGAUGGUUGAGGUGGGUAGGUGAUGGGCAGAGGGGAACAACAGAUUAGUGAUGGUCUGGAAGUGGCCCCAGAAUGUCUGAGACCAGCUCUGCUUCCACCUGCCUGCCGUGGCCUGGAUGCCAUCCAGAUGCCAGGACGGAGAUCUCUUCCUUGCACGCUCAAUUUUCUGCCUGCAAUUCUGACCUCAUUCAAUCUUACCCAGAAGAAAAACCCUUUGAAUAGUGCAUGUGCCUGUGCAGCUGUGGCAUGUUCACACUGUCAGUGAGGCGAGAGUCCCUUUGGCUCUGGAGUGGAAAGCGACCUCAUUUUGUGUGGCUGCGUCACUGCUGUCAUCCUAAGCACCCUCCUGCCCUGCUGCUGACCUGACCCAAGCUGCUGCUGGGUGAGCGGUGGGGCAUGGACCUGCCUGGGGGUGUGAGUGCUGGUGGUGUUGCCCUGGAGGGCAUUGCUCAGCCAGAGAGACAACAGAUAGGCACACAUCUUUGUGCUGUUCCCUGAGGCUGACUUCAUUUUCCAUCAGCAUUUUUCCAAAAACAGAGCCAAAUCCUAAAAUGGGUGAGCAGUAGAGUAAUGCAGAGCAUGUGAGGCACCUGUAAACCUCCAUACUAUGUUUUAAAUGUGCAGUAUUCUUUUCUAACCCUUCUUUUUCUCCAGUAAGGAUUAUAUCCUAACAGAUGGGCAGCAGGAACUGCAACAUCAGUCAUCAGCCACUGGAGAAAGGCAGGGUUUUGUUGCAUACCUCCAAGCUGAAGGCUGUAUCCAAGUUGCUCUGUAUUUGCAUUUUUGCUCAUUUUACUUUGGAGUUCCUAAUCCAAGCCUGGCUUGGUUUUCCAAGGGGUUCAGGGAGUUGGAAGAGGAAAUUUGCAAUAGGCAAAAGCUCUUGCUGAGGCUCUGGCUGGACCUGGGGCAGUAGGAUCCCUGUGGGACUCUGUAGCACAGGGAUGGCAGAUGUGGAAUGAGGGGAUGAUGAGCUUGGCUCUCCUCUGAUCUUUGCUCUGCCCUGCCUGGAAGCAGCAGCCUGGUUCAUGCCUGCUGCAUGCCUGGUUCAUGCUUCCAUUUCAGCCUAGUAGGGUCUGGGACAACAAAGAACACAGAUGAGGGGUUUGUUUCUGCUUUUUGGAGAUGGCAGCUUCCAGCCAGUCCUGUUGGGUUAGGAUGAGCAGAAAGGCUGCAGGAGGUGGAGGUGAUAUUCCCUCAUCUGCAUAUCCAUCACUGUUUCUUUUGCAGGUUCAGCUGCAGGAAGUGGCUGGUGUGAAACUGCACAGCAAAUCCCCAGGCCUGGGGCUCUUGUUCCUGUCAGUCCAUUGCCUCCUGCUUCAUUUUCCCCUGCAGCCCUUUGGCACUUGCUUUGCAGCGGAGAGGAGGAUGCUUUUGCAGCCAGAAGCCAGCUCAUCCCUGCUACCACGGGGAGCCGCAGCCACAGACUGAAACCACAGCUCACCAGCAAAUGCAAAACAAUGUGCAAAACAUGUUUUAAUGUCAGGUUUUUAUUAAAAGUGGACUAAGAGAUUAAGAUGUUCA